rnacentral:rRNA from 1 species
AGCCUGAUGCAGCCAUGCCGCGUGUGUGAAGAAGGCCUUCGGGUUGUAAAGACAGCAGGGGAAGGCGUGGUGGUUAAUACCCACCACGUUUGACGUUAGCUGCAGAAGAAGCACCGGCUAACUCCGUGCCAGCAGCCGCGGUAAUACGGAGGGUGCGAGCGUUAAUCGGAAUUACUGGGCGUAAAGCGCAUGCAGGCGGUUUGUUAAGCAAGAUGUGAAAGCCCCGGGCUCAACCUGGGAACCGCAUUUUGAACUGGCAGGCUAGAGUCUUGUAGAGGGGGGUAGAAUUUCAGGUGUAGCGGUGAAAUGCGUAGAGAUCUGAAGGAAUACCGGUGGCGAAGGCGGCCCCCUGGACAAAGACUGACGCUCAGAUGCGAAAGCGUGGGGAGCAAACAGGAUUAGUACCCUGGUAGUCCACGCUGUAAACGAUGUCUACUUUCGGUCUUGAACUGUGGCUUCGAGCUACGCGUUAAGUAGACCGCCUGG